GAUGAACGCUAGCGGCAGGCUUAACACAUGCAAGUCGAGGGGUAUAGUUCUUCGGAACUAGAGACCGGCGCACGGGUGCGUAACGCGUAUGUAAUCUACCUUUUACAGGGGGAUAGCCCAGAGAAAUUUGGAUUAAUACCCCAUAGUAUGUUGUGGUGGCAUCACUAUAACAUUAAAGUUCCAACGGUAAAAGAUGAGCAUGCGUCCCAUUAGCUAGAUGGUAAGGUAACGGCUUACCAUGGCUACGAUGGGUAGGGGUCCUGAGAGGGGGAUCCCCCACACUGGUAAUGAGACACGGACCGGACUCCUACGGGAGGCAGCAGUGAGGAAUAUUGGACAAUGGGCGCAAGCCUGAUCCAGCCAUGCCGCGUGCAGGAUGAAGGCCCUCGGGUUGUAAACUGCUUUUGUACAGAACGAAAAGGUUUCUACUAAUACUAGGAGCUCAUGACGGUACUGUAAGAAUAAGCACCGGCUAACUACGUGCCAGCCGCCGCCGUAA
rnacentral:rRNA from 1 species